UUGGUCUCACGUGAGAAUUUUGGCCAAGGCUCCCAUUUUCCGCUUGCAGCAGCUUGAAACACCUUUGCCAAAAUUCCCAAUUGCACCACGCUUGUGAACCCACCACCUCGCACCACCAUUGCCACCCUUGCGACCCCCGCAACUCACUCCUCUUCUACUCUGGUUCCUCUUCUCCUCUUCUAGUUCCAGCCCAACAGUUCCAACCACCUCACAGAUGUGGUGGAGAUAUGGUGAUUCAUUUAGGUCCUUGCUUUUGAAGUUGGUAGAAAACACAGAGUUAGACUCAACCAAAUAUCUGCUGGUACGAACACAGAGUUAAAGUCAACACAAUAUCUGUCGGUACCUUGUCACCCCAUCUACUAAUGCAUGUUGCAACGGAACUAUCUGCAUGUGAUAAUAUUUUUGUCUUUUGUUUGACUCACGCUUCAGUUUUAAGCUACCUGGACUUUUAAAUUUCUUUAUUAUAAGUACUGAUAUCAUCUAACUACUAAACCAUAGGAAGUUGGGAACUUUAAAAGAAAGAAAAAAAAAAUAUGAUUGUAGUUUACAGUUUAAUACUGAUUCAUUUAGUCAACUGAAUAUGCUGGACAAAACUAAAGUGCCAUGUUUUGUUGUUUUAGGUCUUACAUAAAUGUUGUUGGUGGUUGCAGGAGUUAUUUUGAUGAGAAAACAAAUUAAUUUUUAUAUUUUAUUAAUAUCUGAUUGGUUUUUGAAUUGGUGGUUGCAGUUUGAAGUGCUGUUGGAGUUUUGCCUUUGUCUCUCAAGUAUAUUGUAACUAUCUAUUGCUGCAAUUAUAUUGUAAAUGAUAUGGAAUUUGUGGUAGUUAGGUUUGCUCCACUCAAGCUUUUAGUACAGAUGAUUAUAACUUUUGGAUAUAUGUCUCCAUCUAAUGGAACCUAAGGAGGAAGGAAGACAAAAAUUUGGUGCCGUUAGGAAAGCUGGUUUUGCUAUGUAGUAGUUCUCACGGUGUAGUGCUGCGUUGUUGCUGCUCGUGGACAAAAAAAAAAAAAAAAAAAAAAAACUAUGGAUUUUGUUAAAUGUAGUGCCGAGAUGCUUGCUUGUUAAUGUGGGCUUUGUUUAAUAGAAAAGUGUUUAAUUGUUGA